rnacentral:rRNA from 1 species
CACGUAGGGUGCAAGCGUUGUCCGGAAUUAUUGGGCGUAAAGGGCUCGUAGGCGGUCCGUCACGUCGGGAGUGAAAACUCGGGGCUCAACCCCGAGCCUGCUUUCGAUACGGGCGGACUAGAGGUAGGUAGGGGAGAACGGAAUUCCUGGUGUAGCGGUGGAAUGCGCAGAUAUCAGGAGGAACACCGGUGGCGAAGGCGGUUCUCUGGGCCUUUCCUGACGCUGAGGAGCGAAAGCGUGGGGAGCGAACAGG